rnacentral:tRNA from 1 species
UGACUUGGUACUUUAAAUUAAAAGAUCUGACUUGCAUUCAGACAAUAAGUCUUUCGGCUUUCAGGUCAU